rnacentral:lncRNA from 1 species
AUAAAGAUCAUGACUACGGUAGCAGGCGUUGGCAUCGUAGACAUCAUGAUGUUGAUUGGCAUGGGAAUCAUAGACAUCAUGGCAGACACUGGCAAGGACAUCAUGGACACUAUAGGAAACCUUGGAAUAAAUAUCGAAGAGUUUACUUGAGAAGAUAUUCGCGUAGACAAUUCAGAAGACGUUACACCCGCCAUGGUUAAAAUUUUUUAGGGGACAGCAGUCGAAGAAAGUGCACAAUCUCGGAAUUUAUAGCUAAGCAGUUCAUUAUGAAUAAUGGUGUUCAUCCUUUAAGGAUUAUUUUUUGCUUAACCGUUCACUAAUGGGUAUCACUAAGAACAUCUGUCAACAGUGGAUGAGACACUAUUUUCCGCUAUUUUUCCAGACAUUUUCUAAAAAACUACAUUUACUCACUGACUAUCUGAGUCCGAAAUGUUCUUACAAA